UACUCCCUCCGUUUCAAAAUACAUGUUCAUUUUGGAGAAAUUGCACUAACCAAGAAACCAAAUAAAUUUUGUUAUUUUUGAUGAAAAUAUGUGUGUGUUUUCUAUAAUACCCUUAAUCAUUUAUUAUUUCAUUUUAUUUUUUUCUCUCUCUACAAUAAAUAUGCAAGGGUAUUAUUGACAAGACAAUAAUUAAUGUUGCAUUGAAACUUGAAAGUGACAAGUAUUUUGAAACAAAAUUAUUCUCUAAAAUGGACAAGUAUUAUGAAACGGAGGGAGUA
rnacentral:lncRNA from 1 species